rnacentral:lncRNA from 7 species
GAUUGCAGGGAGGCGGAAGCAGCGUUUGGAGUGCUGAUAAGCAGCGGGUCAAUGGGCACUGUCCUUCUCACUGUGCCAUUUUUGCACGUCGGAGCGUUUUGGGGAGAUAAAGGCACGGGGAUAGGCAUGUUGUCCCUGGCCAGCUCGGCCGCACACUUCUCGGUGAAGGCGCGGUGCAGCGCAUCCCGCAGCGACCGCAGCUCCUCCUCAUACCUGGCCCUGCGUGGGUCCCCGGCCGGGUUCUCCUUGGUGCUCUGGAUCUCAGCUCGAAGCCCCUCAUUCUCCUCCUCCAGGAACUUGACGCGAGCCAGGUAGGCCUCCAGGCGCUUGUUGAGGUCCCACAUCUGCAGCGAUUCCUCACCCAGAGCUCUCGCCCCCACGAAGCCCUCCAUGCUCAGCAUCGUGGCGGCAGAAGGAAGGCAGCAGAGCGGUGCCGGCGCAGGCGAGCGCAGCUAUUCAUACUCACGCCGGGGUGACAAAUGAUUAAUUCUGCUCAGGAGCUGCGUGCGGCUUUCUGCAAACUCACCCAAGCAAUUAUCCGGCAGGCGCCGUGCCGGCUUCCCCAGGGCGGAGGAUGCUGUAAACCGGAGAAAGUUUGGGCUCAAUCUGCUUAAAAAAGCUCCAACAUCGGCUCUCAGGGCUCAGCUCCACCACGGGGGGCAAAACCCUGUCCCAGAUGCGCCCAGGACUCAGCCCUUCAUCUUCUGGAUCCCUCUUAGGGAGGAGGAUUCGGGUCUUGGUGUGAGCCGCCAGACCCAGAGAUGGAUUCAUCAUCCCAUAGAGACGUCCCUCCCAUCCCAUCACAAGCUGCAGAUGGGGAAACUGAGGCACAGCAUCUGACAGGAUGUCAGCUUUCAGCUCCUGUUCUCCCUUCGGGGGAAGGAAUAAAGUAUAAAAGGAGGAGGGAAAGAGGAAGG